UACGGAAGGCAGCGGUGGGGAAUAUUGCACAAUGGGCGCAAGCCUGAUGCAGCCAUGCCGCGUGUAUGAAGAAGGCCUUCGGGUUGUAAAGUACUUUCAGUCGUGAGGAAGGUGUUAAGGUUAAUAACCUUAGCAAUUGACGUUAGCGACAGAAGAAGCACCGGCUAACUCCGUGCCAGCAGCCGCGGUAAUACGGAGGGUGCGAGCGUUAAUCGGAAUUACUGGGCGUAAAGGGCACGCAGGCGGUUAAUUAAGUUGGAUGUGAAAUCCCCGGGCUUAACCUGGGAAUGGCAUUCAAGACUGGUUAGCUAGAGUCUUGUAGAGGGGGGUAGAAUUCCAUGUGUAGCGGUGAAAUGCGUAGAGAUGUGGAGGAAUACCGGUGGCGAAGGCGGCCCCUGGACAAAGCUGACGCUCAUGCGCGAAAGCGUGGGGAGCAAACAGGGAUUAGAUACC
rnacentral:rRNA from 1 species